rnacentral:rRNA from 1 species
UACAGAGGGUGCAAGCGUUAAUCGGAAUUACUGGGCGUAAAGCGUGCGUAGACGGUUACAUAAGUCGGGUGUGAAAGCCCCGGGCUCAACCUGGGAAUUGCAUUCGAGACUGCGUAGCUAGGGUGCGGAAGAGGGAAGCGGAAUUUCCGGUGUAGCGGUGAAAUGCGUAGAUAUCAGGAGGAACACCGAUGGCGAAGGCAGGUCUCUGGGCCAUAACUGACGCUGAGAAGCGAAAGCAUGGGGAGCGAACAGG